rnacentral:rRNA from 1 species
UACGUAGGGGGCAAGCGUUGUCCGGAUUUACUGGGCGUAAAGCGCGUGUAGGCGGCCCGGUAAGUCCGCUGUGAAAGUCCAGGGCUCAACCCUGGGAUGCCGGUGGAUACUGUCGGGCUCGAGUCCGGAAGAGGCGAGUGGAAUCCUGGUGUAGCGGUGAAAUGCGCAGAUAUCAGGAGGAACACCAAUGGCGAAGGCAGCUCGCUGGGACGUGACUGACGCUGAGACGCGAAAGCGUGGGGAGCAAACAGG